CUAGUAGUAGUUGCUUAUUUGUUUGCAGAAAUAAUUGCGUGGGUACGAAAGUCAAACGAGAAUGAAGCAAGUAUAUUAUCUAGUUUCUAUGUCUUUAAAUAGUUUAUCCUCCACACGUCUAAACAUACGCACCUGCUAGUAGGUGCGCAAACGUUAAAACUUCUUUGGAAAGCAAUUUGGCAAAAUCCAGUAAAAAAGUAUUUUCAAUUACUAUACCCUAGCACUCUGCUGCUACCUAUACGUCUUGUAGAAACUUUGGUACGUGAACGAGGAUGUGUGUAACAGCGCUGUGGGUAGAAGCAAAAAAUUAGAAACGUCCAUCAAUAAGAGAAUAAAUACCUUAUGGGAUGUUAAUUAGGAUGUAGUAUUAUACGCCCAUAAAAGAAGACUGAACUCAGAUAUGUGAUGAGGCAAAAAGAGAAAGAUGUGGAAAAAUAAAUAGUAUGACAAUUCAUGUGCAUUCAACUCUAAAACUUGUAAAAUAAUGCUAUGUAUUGCUUAGUUAUGUAUAUAUAUGUAGUUAAAGUAGUCAAGAAUACAAGAGAAUGAAAAUCAAGUUGAGAAAAGCGGUCAUAUCUGGUAAAGAUUUCCCAAGACCAAAAGGCUUAUGUGCACUGCUCCAUUGCACUGUUUCUGCUGCUGGUUCUGCUUUGACUCUCCCAGAAGAAAACCAGGGUUGUCACCGGAAGUUCCUGAAGUAAUCUCCUUUUUAAGCAAACUUUGAUUAUUAUACUAUUUGGUGACGGAGGCUGAGAAGUCCAACUUCAAGGGGCCACAUCUGGUGAGAGCCUUCAUUCCGAUGAGAGCCCUCGUGCUGGUGGAACUUUGUCUUCCGAGUUCCAAGGUGGUUCAGGGCAUCACAUGGCGAAGGAGCUGAGCGUGCUAGCUCAGGUGUCUCUUCCUCUCCUUAUAAAGCCACCAGUCCCACUCCUGUGGUAGUAACUCUUUAACCCAUCAACCCAUUAAUUCAUUAAUCCAUGAAUAGAUUAACCCAGAGACCUCUGCCCUCAGGACCCAAUCACCUCUUAAAGGCCUGACCUGUCAAUAUUGCCAUACUGGGGACUCAGUUUCAACAUGAGUUUUGAAAGGGACUAACAUUCAAUCCAUAGUAACAUGAGAGCUUUUCAAAGCCCUUCUUUCUUGAAGUAUGCCCUUCUCCAGCCUCUUUUUUCCCAGGCUUUUUGUUUUUUCUAUUGCUCGUGCAACUGUUAUCCUUUGCCACAGGUGGCAAUAGCUCAUACAUUUGCCUUUAAAUUUGUUUGACAAACGUCACCCUGGAAGUAGCCUCAACUCUGGGGAAGCUCCAAGGCAGGUAAAAUACAGUUUUGCCACCUGGGAGAAUCAAAGAACCAACUAAUUUGUGAGGAUGUGAAGAGGAGGCAUUCCUAACUUUCCACUUACCCAUUAAGACCCAGUUGAAAUCUUUCAUCUUGGAGCGGGGGACAGUGGUCCUGUUGCCCCGUGCCCACCUGCAUCUGGAAGCAGAGCUGAUCACUCUCCUUGGUAGAACAGCGUGCCUCACAUAUACCCCUGUUAUACAUUUUGUUACAUGUCAUUCGAAUUUUGUAUCUCUCUACAUAAUUGUUUCAACUAUAAGAUGCACAAAUUCCUUGAGGUUGGGAACCAGGUCGUCUUUAUUUUUUUAACUCCAGGGCCAUGCAUAGGCCCUGGUUGUAUCUGGUGAGUUCCUGGCAGGAAGCAGAUGAUGCCUUCAAACUGGGUAGUCAAGGGCAGUUUAACGAUAUUAUAGGCCAUGUGCAGUGGCUUAUGCCUGUAGUCCUAGCUCUUUGGGAGGCUGAGGCAGGAGGAUCACUUGAGCCCAGGA